AGUAACACGUGGGUGAUCUGCCCUGUACUUCGGGAUAAGCCUGGGAAACUGGGUCUAAUACCGGAUAUGACCUUCGGUUGCAUGACCGUGGGUGGAAAGAUUUAUCGGUACAGGAUGGGCCCGCGGCCUAUCAGCUUGUUGGUGGGGUAAUGGCCUACCAAGGCGACGACGGGUAGCCGGCCUGAGAGGGCGACCGGCCACACUGGGACUGAGACACGGCCCAGACUCCUACGGGAGGCAGCAGUGGGGAAUAUUGCACAAUGGGCGAAAGCCUGAUGCAGCGACGCCGCGUGAGGGAUGACGGCCUUCGGGUUGUAAACCUCUUUCGACAGGGACGAAGCGCAAGUGACGGUACCUGUAGAAGAAGCACCGGCCAACUACGUGCCAGCAGCCGCGGUAAUACGUAGGGUGCGAGCGUUGUCCGGAAUUACUGGGCGUAAAGAGCUUGUAGGCGGUUCGUCGCGUCGUUCGUGAAAACUUGGGGCUCAACCCCAAGCUUGCGGGCGAUACGGGCGGACUAGAGUACUUCAGGGGAGACUGGAAUUCCUGGUGUAGCGGUGAAAUGCGCAGAUAUCAGGAGGAACACCGGUGGCGAAGGCGG
rnacentral:rRNA from 1 species